AUGCAUGGAUGUGUGCUGCCCGGCAAACAGCACCGUCACCUGCAAAAACACCCAAAAUCUACAGAAAUCACCCCAAAAUCACCCCAAAAUUACGCCAUGGAGAUGCAUGGCUCUGUGCUGCCCUGCAAACAGCACCAAAACCUGAAAAAACACCCAAAAUCUACAGAAAUCACCCCAAAAUCACCCCAAAAAUACAAUAUGGAGAUGCACGGCUCUGUGCUGCACUGCAAACCGCACCAAAACCUGCAAAAACACCCCAAAAUCUACAGAAAUCACCCCAAAAUCACCCCAAAAUUACACUAUGGGGAUCCAUGGAUGUGUGCUGCCCGGCAAACAGCACCAAAACCUGCAAAAACACCCAAAAUCUACAGAAAUCACCCCAAAAUCACCCCAAAAUUACACUAUGGGGAUCCAUGGAUGUGUGCUGCCCGGCCAACAGCACCAAAACCUGCAACAACACCCAACGAAAUCACCCCAAAAUUACAAUACGGAGAUGCACGGCUCUGUGCUGCCCUGCAAAUCCCACAAAAACCUGCAAAAACACCCCAAAAUCACCCCAAAAUCAACAGAAAUCACCCCAAAAUUACAAUACGGAGAUGCACGGCUCUGUGCUGCCCUGCAAAUCCCACAAAAACCUGCAAAAACACCCCAAAAUCACCCCAAAAUCAACAGAAAUCACCCCAAAAUUACAAUACGGAGAUGCACGGCUCUGUGCUGCCCUGCAAAUCCCACAAAAACCUGCAAAAACACCCCAAAAUCACCCCAAAAUCAACAGAAAUCACCCCAAAAUUACAAUACGGAGAUGCACGGCUCUGUGCUGCCCUGCAAAUCCCACAAAAACCUGCAAAAACACCCCAAAAUCACCCCAAAAUCAACAGAAAUCACCCCAAAAUUACAAUACGGAGAUGCACGGCUCUGUGCUGCGCUGCGAACCCCACAAAAACCUGCAAAAACACCCAAAAGCAGCAGAAAUCACCCCAAAAUCACCCCAAAAAUACAAUAUGGAGAUGCAUGGAUGUGUGCUGCCCGGCAAACUGCAAAAAAACCUGCAAACACACCCAAAUGCACCCAAAAUUAACAGAAAUCACCCCAAAAAUACCCUACAGGGCUGGACAGCCGCGUGCUGUGCUGCAAACUGCACAAAAAUCUGAAAAAACAGCCCCAAAGCACCCCAAAAUCAACAGAAAUCACCCCAAAAUCACCCCCAAAAUACGCUACAAAAGAGCACAGUUCAGCACCCCAUAG
rnacentral:lncRNA from 1 species